rnacentral:lncRNA from 1 species
GCACUAUAUUUAUGAAAUAAAUAUAUUUACACGAUCAUUCAAAUUCUAUGGUUUAAAUACCCAAUUCUGGUUUGAUGAAAUCUGACAAAUCAUCACGAUUAUUGAAUUCUGAUAGCAUUGAAUCACUCUCGUCGCUAAUGUCAAAAAAGUAAAGCUGGAACCCGGUCACUAGCGUCGUUGGUCCUCGCCAAUAAAUCACGAUAAUCUAUACAAAUCGGCCAGUUGAGAUCCUCCAAUGUCUUCUGAACAUGCUCGUGAGCAUAGACAGGAAUCCCAGUUAUCCUGUCAACGUCAAUCAGCUCCAAUUUCUGUGAUUUGAGUUUGAGCACCCUAAAUUUCUCUCCAUCAUAAUAAUGUUCACGCUUAAUUCAUCAGUAACCUCUGCAUUCUGCUGAAUGUUAAUAUGGUCACAUAAUGAAGUACAGCAUGUGAAUUUGGCUGAAAAGGCUUAUGGAAAUCUUCUGCAAUAUAGGUUAAGGAUCACCACAACACUCCCGCCAUUUUCC